UUGUUCCUUUUGAUUCAACAACACUCCUCUGUCACCAUUUUCGAAACCCUAGCGCCGCAUACCCAUAUUCUUCAAAAAUCCUUUCUUCCCUGCAUCAUCUCUUCAUCUUCUUCGAUUUAUCUGGCGAUUCUCUAUCUUCGCUGCAUCAUCUCUUCAUCUUCUUCGGUUUAUCACUUCUGUUAUGAAGGUGUGUUUGAGAUUGAAUCUUAAUUGAAAAGGGUAUAAAUAUUUUACAUUUGGUUGGUUGUUGAAAACAAGGAGCUAACGGAAAAGAUCAAGAUCAAAUACCAAGGGAACAAGGGAAAUUAUGUUAUUUAUUAGAAAACAUAAAAAUAUAAAGGCUUGUGGGAAGACCGAUUACCAGUGGAGCUUUUCUCUGCUGAUGGUGUAGAUUAUCACAAAACUUGCUUCAAGUGCAGCCAUUGCAAAGCAAGCCAUGCUGUAACUAUUGGGACAUGUGGCAGCCCAACAUGGUGAUCAGUCUAACCCAAAAUACUGGCACUCUCGGAGCUGCACAGGGUCAGUUUUUACGAAACAUGUGAUGUUUUUUUUAUUUGGUUAUUUACCGAUUUACUGUGAAUGUAUGAGAAAAUGGUUAAAACGUAUAUACUUGGUUUGAUGUUUUGUUAUCGAGGUGGUAAAAAUGGUAGCGCGAGUACUAAUGCAAGCACUCCAAUCCAAGCAUGGGUACAAGGAUCUAUUGCGGUGUAUUUUCAAUGAAAGCAAGCAAUCCUGUGAUUAUGGUUCAAGCAUAUCGUCUUCUUGUAGCUGAAAUGUAUGUUCGGGGUUGGGACUAUCCUUUGCAUUUGGGAGUCACCGAAGCUGGUGAGGGUGAAGAUGGACGUAUGAAAUCCGCAAUCGGUAUCGGGAUUAUAGAGGUGGAUUAUAGAGGUGUACUCCACCGCGACGGUUCUGUUCUCAUGUCUGUUUCUCUGGAUCAACUCGAGACACCUGAACUCUUCUAUAGAUCACUAGCUGCAAAACUUGUGCUUGGUAUGCCAUUCAAGAUUCUAUCUUAUUGAGAGAGCUUCCACCAACAGUCGAUAAAGAUGCUUGCCUAGCUCUUAAAAGGUUGAUUGAUGAGUUGGACCAAUGAGCUUAUAGCUCAGUGGUACCCACUACCAAUGAAGUUCAUUGCCCACAUGUGAAGCUGUAGUGGCGCGGGUUCAACCCUUGUGGUGCCCAGAUCAUGUGGAUGGUGUGCAGAGGUAAUUUGCCGGCAUCAUAACCCUUGUGGGGUGGGAUGAUGGGUAUCCUAUGGGGUAACAGGGACAAGGUAAAGACGGGUCGCAUGGGUUGAUCAAAAGUCAUGUUGUCUAUAACUGUUACUACAACCAAAAGGCCAAGGGAAGCUUAUGUGUGUGGCAGAAGAUCCCUUUGUAGAUCAGUGAUCGAAAAGGGGUUGCAUAUAACCUACUGUAGCUUAGCAUUUUUUCAACAAAAGGAUCUCACAAGAAGUUAAUGGAGAUGCUCUUGGGGAGGUAAAGAGCUAGAGAUAAAGGUGUAUUGAUUACAAGAUAGGUGUGUAUUUAUAUAUAUGAGUAAUGAGUUCCAGAGGAAGGCCAUUAUUUGAUCUCAAUGAGCUUGCUACUGAGGAGGAUGAGGAGAGUGAUGGUGUGUUCUAUUUCCAUCCUCAAAGGGCUAUUCCGUCCACUACGCAUACUUCGAAUUUGUUUAACCCGUCAAAUAGUCUGCGUAGGAUAAUAAACAACCAUGUCUUUUCUCAUGCGCCUUCGCUUUCGGGCUUUCAGCAUUUUAUUCGUUCAAAAAGAGUACAGGCAUCUGAAACGGAUGAGGACCAGAAGAAGGGAAUUGGUAUAUGGUCUGUGUUUGAAAAAGAAGGUGAAUGGUCUGAUGCAGAUGGCAGUGGUAUGCCUGAAAAGUCAACUUCUGUCUCUGAUGAUGAUAAGUCAGGUGAAACCAAUGGAAGGUAUCAUCUUAGAAUUAGUUUUUGAAGUGUUUGAUUGUUUAAAUUCUAUUUUAUUUUAUUUUCUUUAUAUAUCUUCAUAUAGCUAAACAUAUUUGAGCAUGAUAAAUGUGUGAAAAAGCUUUAAGGAGGAAAAUAUGUGAUACUUUAAUCCAUGAA